rnacentral:sRNA from 1 species
ACGAUAUUGUCCACGCUGCUUUAAAACCAAUCGAUAAACAAGCUUUAUUAGAGCUUUUAGAUAAAUAUGGCAUUAAAGCACUAGCGCAAAAAUUUAGUCAACUGUAAUGCCUGAACUACCUGAAGUUGCCACUGUAAUUACCGAACUUAAGAGCUGUGUU